UUUUACCCUCCCCCGAUCCCCUUUGUUUCUCUUCUGUUCCUUCUAGCUUCAUCCGAUUUGCUUCCUUGUUUCUUUGCUUUCCAUUUCUGCCGAUUUACCCUCCCAGUUUCUUUUCAUCCGAUUUUCUUUUCUUUUCUUUUCUUUUCUGCCAAUUUGCUCCCCUCGUUUCUUUUCUUUUCUUUUUCGGCCGAUUUGCUCAGUUUCUAUCAAUUUGCGUCAUCAGUUAGUUUUCCUAACCUGAUAGAAUAAUAUCCGUUUCUCAAGUUUGAUUGCUAUUUUUGCUUGUAGCAUUUUUUAUUUUUUAUUUUUUUUAGUUCUGACCUUUUCUUUAGAUAAAAUUGCUUUUGUGUUUGAUACGUGUGAUUUUUUUUUGUUAAUUAGCUUGGAGAAGAGCUUGGAGAUAUUUAUGAUAUAGAAUUGCUUCGUGUUAUCCUCCAAGGUUUGUCUUGCUACAGACCUGCUUCUUUUUCUGAGUUCAUUUGGUUUGAUGUUGAGCAAUUAGACUAUGUAUUCCCCUCAUUCUAGAUUCCAU
rnacentral:lncRNA from 1 species